AACGCAAAUGGCGCUCUCGGGAUAGGCCUGGGAGCACGCCUCUUUGAGUGUCGAUUCAAUCAAACUCAGCGACCUGCGCUUAAUUGUUGCGGGAUGCAGCUGAAUAUUGAGUGUCUCUCUCUAACGGGCGAGUCACUUUAAGCGGAGCGAGUCUCCCUUUUCCCUAGCACUUGCGUUAAUUCGCAUAGUCUCGGUGUGAGUUUUGCAUCGCAAAACUUGAGCCUGCUAGUGAUGUGGAUAAUCACCCCUUAAAAAGGUGUUUCCAAUACAUGACUGGUAGGGUUGAGUGGCGGCGCAAACGGCUUUAGUGUCCAGCUCAUCCUUGUACGAUAAAUGCCUGGGAUUAGGUGCCAGACGGACCGAGGGCCCUCGGAAACGAGCGGCUUUCAAACCAAACCUUUUGACUUAGACCUCAAAUGAAGCGAGACAACCCGCUGAACUUAA
rnacentral:misc_RNA from 1 species